ACGUAGGGAGCGAGCGUUGUCCGGAAUUACUGGGCGUAAAGGGUGCGUAGGCGGCGAGGCAAGUCAGGUGUGAAAUCCCCGGGCUUAACUCGGGGGGUGCAUUUGAUACUGCUUUGCUUGAGUGCAGGAGAGGAAAGCGGAAUUCCUAGUGUAGCGGUGAAAUGCGUAGAUAUUGGGAGGAACACCAGUGGCGAAGGCGGCUUUCUGGACUGUGUCUGACUCUGAGGCGCGAAAGCGAGGGGAGCGAACGG
rnacentral:rRNA from 1 species